AUGGGAGUAUGGUUAUCGCAAUCAAUCCAGGCGAGAGGAGGAGGAGGAGGAUACAUGGGACAACCCUGGGGCCUUCUACUCUUGGCUGCGAGCAUGGCUUCUUCUCUAGCGCUACUCUUAUGAUGCACUUGUACAGAAGGGAAACUCGUGUCUGCUUAAAUUCACAGCUACUGAAGAAGAUUGAUGAAGGCUGUCAAUUCAAAGAGAUAUAUUGACCCUAUCAGCAUCUAUGAACAUCAAGGCUUCCUUCUAACGAGUCCUUAUAAUCUGAGACAAUGUGCUAUAAUGAUAUUAUCCUUCAUGCUCAAGGUGUAGAGAGAAAUGAACAUGCUCUUGACAGGUAAAAAAAGAGAGAAAAAAGAAAAAGAAAAAAAGAAAACGAGUUUGUAAUCCUUGUAAAUGAUUGUAAAUGAAGUUAUUAUAAAUCAUGCAUAAUAUCUGAGCUUCCUAGGUCGGUCGCGCUUGUAUGCGCUGCAGAUUUCGAUCCUAUGUCAAGCAUUAUUUAUGAGUUUCGUAGUA